rnacentral:rRNA from 1 species
CGGCGUGGAUUAGGCAUGCAAGUCGAACGAUACCGCAAGGUAUAGUGGCAGAAGGGUUAGUAACACGUGGGUAAUCUACCCUCGAUUCGGGGAUAACACAUCGAAAGAUGUGCUAAUACCCGAUAAUAUCCCGAUCUCGCAUGAGAUUGGGAUCAAAGGUGGCUCGCAAGGGCUGCCGGUUGAGGAGGAGCCCGCGUCCUAUCAGCUAGUUGGUGAGGUAAUGGCCCACCAAGGCUUUUGACGGGUAGCUGGUCUGAGAGGAUGAUCAGCAACAUUGGGACUGAGAUACUGCCCAGACUCCUACGGGAGGCUGCAGUCGAGGAUCUUUAGCAAUGCCCGAAAGGGUGACUAUGCGACGCCGCGUGCAGGAUGAAGGUUUUCGGAUUGUAAACUGCUGUCAGGGGGGAAGAAACCUUACGUGAUAAUACCGCGUAAGCUGACAUUACCCCCAAAGGAAGCCACGGCUAACUCUGUGCCAGCAGCCGCGGUAAGACAGAGGCGGCAAGCGUUGUUCGGAUUUAUUGGGUGUAAAGGGCGGGUAGGUUGUCUUGAAAGUCCGAUGUGAAAUCCCAUGGCUCAACCAUGGAACUGCAUUGGAAACUUCUUGACUUGAGUGCCGAAGAGGUGAGGGGAAUUCUCGGUGU